GACGAACGCUGGCGGCGUGCUUAACACAUGCAAGUCGAGCGGAGCUGCGAACGGGUGAGUAACGCGUGAGUAACUGCCCCCCUCUCUGGGAUAACAGUUGGAAACGGCUGCUAAUACCGGAUAGUGGGGGAUGACUCGCUUCCUAUCAUCUUGUUGGUGGGGUAGUGGCCUACCAAGGCGACGACGGGUAGACGGCCUGAGAGGGUGGUCGGCCACAUUGGGCUGGGAUACGGCCCAGACUCCUACGGGAGGCAGCAGUGGGGGAUAUUGCACAAUGGGCGCAAGCCUGAUGCAGGGACGCCGCGUGAGGGAUGAAGGCUUUCGGGUUGUAAACCUCUUUCGGUACAGAACAGGUAUGUGCAGAAGAAGCGCCGGCUAACUACGUGCCAGCCGCCGCGGUAAGUC
rnacentral:rRNA from 1 species